GCUUGGCCAUAAACACAGAUAUUUUAGUACAUUAUUAUCCGCCAGAGUACUACAAGCGAAAAGCUAGAAACUCCAAGGACUUGGCGGUGCUUCAAACCAACCUAGAGGAGCCUGUCCUAUAAUCGAUACCCCACGUUUUACCUCACCCACACUAGCCAGCCAGCCUAUAUACCGCCGUCGUCAGCCUACCUUAUGAAAGAACCAAAGUAGGCAAAAUAGUUAAACAACUAAUACGUCAGGUCAAGGUGUAGCACAUGUGUGGGAAGAGAUGGGCUACAUUUUCAAAACGAACAUACGAACAAUAUGUUGAAACACAUAUUUAAAGGUGGAUUUAGUAGUAAAUUAUAAAGAAAAGCAUCUUGAAACCCGCUCUGAAGCGCGC
rnacentral:rRNA from 1 species